rnacentral:lncRNA from 1 species
AGCAACAUGCUUUCGUAGUCAAGGCCAAGCAUUCAACUUUUCCAAAAUAAUCUUCCAUGCACGUUUCAGGAAAUUUAAGAGGUCGAUCGUGUAGAAGAAACUUUGUUUUUCAAAAAACCAAAACAAAACCGACCACCUCAUUCACUGUUGCUAUAUGUGAAGUCUAUAAAGGUCACCCAUUACCCCAUCUAUUUUGAUACAGAACCAUUUCCUCCUUGUUCAUCUCUCCCAACUCCUUUUCUAGCUCAUUUUUGUUUUUGCGACAAAAUUAACCUCUAAACUCAACCAAUCAUGUUCAUCAAAUACUUAAAUCUUAUUAGUGCCCAUCUCAGAUGGGCAUUUAAUUUCUUGUGUUACUAUCCGUUCAGCUUCCAAGAACAUGAAUUGUUUGCUGUGACUGCAAUUGGUGAAGAACUAAACACGGUGAUCAAUGAAGCUCCUGCGGAAUGUGCUGUGUGUCUAAGUGACGUUCAAGAAGGCGAAGAAAUCAGAGAGCUGAGAUGUGGGCAUAUCUUUCAUAGAGCAUGCUUAUACAGAUGGCUUGACUUCCGGCAAUCGACUUGCCCACUUUGCCGAGGAAGUCUUACUCCCCGGAGAACAUUGAUCCUUGAUCAGCACCGAACAGAAGUAUUGACGUUCAAGUUCUGUUCUUUCACAUCCACCGAUGAACGUGAUACAUGGUGGCUACGAUGAAUCAAGUCUUCAAGAUUUUAGUACCUCGUCAGGAGAAAGCACAACGGAGUAACUACCUUCUUCCCCGUCCUUCAGAAUAUCAUGGCAUGUUCGUUAACGAGUUGCUAUUGAUGCAAACUUCUCAAGCAUGAAGUGAUCGUUAAUUCCUGAGCAUGGGACAGACUAAUUAAGCUGAAGGUUCAUUGUUAGAAUAUAACGUUUUUUUUUCCUUCCUAUAUUGCAUCAUCUGCUAAUUUACCUGAAAGGGUGAAGCCAUCUCCCUCUCGGAAUCUCUAAUAACAGUCCUGCAAUGCCAUGCAUGUUGUCUCUUAGCCAUUCUUGUAAUAAACUUGAUGUUUGGUAAGUGUUGUUUUAGUUAAUUUUGGUGAAUCUUUCAAAAUCUCGCUAAGAUCCAAGCAUAAUACAGGAGAGAGUUGAAUGGAAAGACGAUGUUGAGAUUUUUGUUUCAUUACUGGGAUGGAUAAGUUAGUUUGUCCACUACCAUAAACAAAAAAUCAUUAUUUUUCAGUUUUCUAUAUUACAUAUUAUUUAUUUAUCACUUAUAUAUACAUAUACAUAUAUAUUAAGAUGAUAUUUUUUAUUUUAUUUUUUGAAUUCAUUUUUGACAUUAAAAAACAUAAAAAAUUAAUUUUAAAUAAUAAAAAAAAUGAUUUUUAGUAAAUCUUUAUCUGGACGGCACUCCAGAGCUAAGAAUCUAACUUCUAAAGCAAAGAAAAGUAUAUCCAUUAAAAACAAAGUUAAUAUUAACUUUACAAAGCAACUGACAGAAGUUUUCUUGAUCAAUCGAUAGAAUGAACCCAAACACCCCCAGCCCAACAGAAGAGGGCCACGCCCAAUAACCAACCCUGGGGUGAUCGAACCUGCCAUGCUAUGAGUAAAACAGAGAAGCAGCUGAUAAAGUUGACCGGUGACUCAAUACUUUCCCUGAAUCUAACCCCGGCUCAGAUUUAAAACUUAUGCUUCUACCCCUUGCUCCGUGCAGAAGAUCCGCCUUUAAGAGACAGGGAAGGGAGAAGCCUCCUUUGAUAUUUUCAUGGACAGUCAAGUCCGUACGGUUUUUAAAAGUAUUCGGCCUAGGCCACGCGACUCACAUGAAUUUCUCUUUGUUUUUUCAGCUCUCCAUUCAUUUGUUAUCUAUUUAUUUGUGGCUCAGAACAAGUUUCCUGUCUCAUCGCAAAUAAAUUUUUGAUAAGUCCUUUUUAAUUUUUUUCUCGAUAAACUUGAACUAAAUGUUUAAACUCGUUUCGAAAAAAACCAUCAGAGAAAACAGCAGAACCUCUAUUUCAAGGGUCGAUAUUUCUUCCAGAAAAUCUUUUAUCAGUCAAUGGCUUUUAAAUGACAUUAUUUACACCAUAACUUCUCGUUUGAACGGUAAUAUAUAUGGAUUAACAAUUUUAUAAUUAUUAUAGCAAGCAUGUGGGCAUCUAUAAUUGCUAAAAUAAAUUUAAGGAGCUGUCAAGUUACCUCAGUAACUUAUGUGCCAGUUAAGUAAAUCAUUUGAUUGUUUGAGCCAAAAAAUACAUUAUCAACCAUGCGUGACAUGCAUCUAGCUUCGACAGGUAAUGAUAAUAUUGAUGGAUGCUAACCAUUUAGCAGGUGGUUCAAUGACAAGAGCUUGAGAUGAAGGGGUUUGCUUCCCCUAUGAUCUCAGGUUCGAGUCCUGAGGUUCCUAAUAUUAAUGGCCACUAAAAACUUAUCUAAUCGUUAACUUCAGGAUCCGUAGAGAUUAGUCGAGAUGCACAUAAGCUGAUACAAACAUCCCACUUGAAUAAAAAUAUAUAUAUUGAUGGAUGCUGGAUUAAUAAGUGUUUUAUUAGUAAUAUUAUGUAAACAAUUUUUUUUUGUAUAAGAUCUUCAUAUAAACAUAUGUAAUCUUUAUUUUGUGUGAGUUAUCAUUACUCUAUUAUUUAUAAAAUUCAUAUUUUAUUACUCAUUAAUUAACACAGAGUUUAUAUAAAUUUUGGAAAGGAAAAUUAUUGUUCCCUGUCCCAUCUAGCGCGCGGAACACGCCGUGAAAGCUCCCUGACCUGUGAUAAGGAUGCAAGAUAUAGGGGACCACGGCUAGUUUCCCUGCUCAUUUACGAGGCUCCAAUAAUUUCUUUCGCCGAGAAAAAAAAAAGUCGGUCGUCGAAUUGAUGAGAGACAAGUUCUACCUGUGAUGCACAUUAAUUUCAUGAAAGUGAGUCUCUUACGAAUAAUUCAGGCUCACGAAUAAAAUACUUUCAAAAUACAAAAACAAACAAUCUCUCUUCUCUUCCUCUAUGUUUAUUUAUUUUUGGCGUCUUCCUGAACGUAGAGCAACUGUGCAACACAAAAUCUGAUUAUCUUUGCGAUUCCCACUCCUUGUAGAAGCAUGAAUUUAAAUUCCUAAACACUAAAAAAUCUAAAAUAAAAGUGUAUCACAACAACACUUGAAGCAUUAUUAUUUUACUCUCUUUUUUUUAUUGGAUAAUAAGAUAUUUUUGAGCUUGUGUAUGAAUUGAAACUAUAUUUUUGAGAGACGAAACACGUGAAACACGAAGAAACGCAAGCCAUUUAUUACUCCCAGGAAACAAUCGGAUUAUAAACAUGGCAUGUGUGAAACACGUUCAAACAGGAGCCCACCUUGAAAAGAAAAGGUACUAUUAUAAUUUACAGUGUAAUGGAUAUGGGUAAAUAAUAAUAUAAUGUUCCGAGUAUUAAAGAGUUUUAUGUGGAAUUAAGGAAUUUUAAUUUGAAUCUUUAUACUUGUAAAUGCAUGUCCAAGUUAUGUAAACUUAAGUAAAUAUAAUCCUUGUGAAAAUAAAUCUACUCUUCUUUUUAAUUAAGGUGAAGAGUCUUGUUGUCCACUUUAUUUGAAGCCACAAUUCAAAUAAUUAAUCAAAUACCAUUAAAAUCUUUCACUUUUACAGGACUCAUGUCCACUUUAUUCGAAGUCACAAUUCCGACUAUUUUUCACUUUUACAGGAAUCAACAAAACAGCAGAGGAAAUCUUUCACUUUUACAGAAGUCACAGUUAUCUUUUAUUGUUUUGUGACUUCUGCAAACAGAAAAGAUUUCCUCUGUUAUUUGAACAGCACAAGAAAAAUAUUCGGAAUUGUGACUUCAAAUAAAGGUUUGUCUUUGUGGGUUCUUAUAGUGGCAGAAGCAUGUGUGUCUGUCAUGCUUAUGGUUAACCAUUGAUUUCAAGUAUUUUAAAGAGAAAAACCAUCUACGAUCUCUGCUGCUUUGUUGUUUCCUCUGUAUUGGACCUGCGGCUCCAUGGUUUCUUGAUUCCCUGUUUCUGUUUCCUCUGUAUGCUCCAUGGUUUCUUGAUUCCCUGUUUCUGUUUCCUCUGUAUGCUCCAUGGUUUCUUGAUUCCCUGUUUCUGUUUCCUCUGUAUUGGACCUGCGGCUCCAUGGUCACAAUUCCGACUAUAAGAACCCACAAAGACAAACCUUUCUCUUUUUAUUUUUAUUUUGCACUCACAACACAAGAAAAAUAGUCGGAAUUGUGACUUCAAAGAAAGUGGACAAGACUCCGGUAAAAGUGAAAGAUUUUAAUGGUAUUUGAUUUAUUAAUUGAAUUGUGACCAGUGGCGGAGCCACAGAGGGACAAAAGGGGGCAAUUGCCCCCUUAACUUUUAUUUAUUUAUUAAAAUAUUAAUAUAUUAGUUUAGAGAAUUUAUUGUUACUGAGGGAAGGAAAAAGGAAAGUUGAUAUUGUUUAUAAUUGUUGACUUAUAUAUUAAUAUAAUAUAAUAUAUAUACAUAGCUUAUUCCACGGAAGUUUUUCCUUUUUCCUUUUUAUUUCUAUAUUAAAUCAUUAGUACCGGCUUAAAAUUAUAGAAUCAAAUUAUAGAAUCCCUGACUAACAGAGUAUUUUUUUGUUCCUGCCUAUCUUUUCAUGAGCUGUUGUGUUUGCUUUACUCUUUUCAGCUGUUGUUCUCUGCCUUUCUGAUAUGUAAAUUUCUCAUAAAAUAUAAUUAAGUAAUUAAUUUUUUUUUGUUUUUUGUUUUGUAUUUUAGCUAAAUUUUCUUUAUUUUUUUUAUUUCAUUGUUUAAUUUUAAUAUUAUUAUUUUAUAAUUAAUUAUUAAAAAUAUUAGGGUUUAUGAUAAUUUAGGGGUUUUGAUAUGAAUAUGUUCCAAUAUAUUCAAAAUAAAUAUUUAAAUCUACUAAUUUAAUCAAUUAAAUGUUUCUUUUCUUAUUAUAAAGGAAUAAAUUAAUAUUCAUGCAAAACCACUAUUAUUGACAUAUCUUGCAUUGGUAGAGUAGUUUAUUGAAAUUUAAUAUUUUCAUAUGACUUGUUUGUAAGUAAAAUAUCAAGUAGAAAGCAUGUUUUUCAAAAAUUGUUCCUCUUGCACAUACACGAGGCAUUGCUCCUCAAUUAAAUAUCUAGAAAUGAUUAAGUAUAAUUUAAUCAAUAUACUUAUUAUAUGCAUAUAGAUAUGAAUUGAAAUAGGUUUUGAUUUUGAUGAAUUGAUGUGUAUUUUGCUAUGAAUUUCAUAUAGAAGAUUUAGAAUUAUUGUGUAACUCAACUGAUUUUUAUUUAACAGUGAAUUAUUGUGUAGUUUGUUAAUUAUUAUGUAGACACUAAUGAUGAUAAAAAAUCUAGCAGGUUCAUAUUAAAUUAACAUGUCACUAGACAAGUAUUUCAAGCGUAAAUCCCUUGAGGAUGAAGAAUCAAUCAAAGCUUCAAGUCAUGUAACUCAAUCAAGUUCAAAGAAAAGUCAUAUUGAAAUAGGAUGGGAGAUAAGUGGAUGAAUAAUAGUUUGGUUGUAUACAUUGAGAAAGAUAACUUCGAUAAGAUUGAUAAUGAAGCUAUUAUGAAGCGGUUUCAAAAUAUAAAAACUCGAAGAGAACAAUUAUAAUGUAAGUUUUUUUAGUUUAAAAGUAUUUUUAAAUUAAUUUUACUUGAUAUGAAUUAGUAUAUAUGUUUCGAAUUGAUUUAUAAUGUAUAUCUAUAUAAUAUAUUAUUUGUUAAUAAUUUGUCCCCUCAUUAAAAAAACUCUGGCUCCGCCACUGAUUGUGACUUCAAAUAAAGUGGAUUUGAGGAAGGUUAUUUUAGAAAAGAUUUGAAUUGUGAUUAAUUAAUUGAAUUGUGACUUCAACAGUUAACCUUUUUUUUUUUCCACUCCCGGUGUAUUACUUUUGUUUUCCUGCAAUAUUUUUUUUUCUUUUUUUCCCAAAAUUAUAUCUAUACAUUAACUUUUUUAAUGCUGAGCUGGUUAAAAAUUUCGCUUUGUAAUUUUUUUUCUUUAGAAUACUGUAAAUUACUACGGUGUUUUUCCAUAUGGUUUUUCUAUUUUAUUUUUUUUAUUUUUUAAAAUUAUAUUUAUCGAUUUUAUUUUUUUAAUAUUGAGCUGAUUGAGAAUUUAGUUUUGUAAUUUUUUUUCUUUAAAAUAUUGUUGAUUGCUACAACGUUUCUCCAUAUAGUUUUUUUUUGUUUUUGUUUUUUUAUAAUUUUCUCCAAAAUUAUCUUUUCGAUUUUAUUUUUUAAUAUUGAGCUGGUUAAGAAUUACAGUUACAAUAUGUGAAGAAAACACUAUAGUUUAUUGGGAAAAACACUGUAGUUUCCCUCACAAAAUAUUGUCAAUUGCUACAAUGUUUUUUCUCAUGAGUUUUUUUCAUUCUAGAAUUAUUUUUUUCAAUUUUUUUUAAAUAUUAAGUUGGUUGAGAAUUUAGCUUUAUAAUAUUUUUUCUUUUUAUUAACAGAAAAACUAAAUCAUAUGGUAAAAGCAUUAUAUCUUUCCUCACAAAAUACUGUGGAUUGCUACAAAUUAUUUUGUUCAGUCUCUAAGUUUUUUUAUCACCAACACAACAUUGUUUUUUCAUCAUGAAAUGUUGGCUCCACCAUACUUUUAGUUUCUAUUAUUUAUCUAACGCUGGUUCACAAUCAUAACACUAUCAAGUAUAUUUAUUUUAUAAGUCCGCGACAGUGCGCGAGCAUGCCAAUAACUUAUUCCUAGUACUUUAAUGGAGUUACUUGAUUACUCCUCAUGGAUUAAAAAACUAUUAUGUAGCUAAUGUCUAUAUUUUUAAACUCAUUAAUAACUAAAUCUAAUUCUUUAUUAUUUCUCACCUUAUUUUUUAAAAAAACAUAAAUAAUAAAAAAUAGAUGAGAUUGGAAAACUUGGAUUGAGAUCUAAUUAAGAAUAUGAUAGAUUUAUGUUUCGAGAACUCAAACUCUUGAAUUCAAAUUAAUGGUUGAAUUUUGAAUUGUGCAAGAAUCAUAGGUAGUAUUUUUGAACGUGCAUCAAUUAUAGGUAGCUUUUCAAAAAAUAUAAUUGGCAAAUUAUUUGAUUUAAAGAUAAGAUCUAAUUGUUGAUUUGUAUUUCACAGUGCAUCAUAUUCUAAGAGUGAGAGGAUUCAAUUUCAUAAAAUUUUGUUUGUAGAUAUUAAUAUACUUUUGGUUGAAAAAAAACUAGUAUUAUAGAAAGACAAAUAUUGGUCAAAAAGACUAUUACAAAAUCAUCAAUAUUAGUCAAAGUGGUACUUAAUCAAGACUAAUUAGAUUGGUGUUUGAAGUACACCGUUUGGGUUAAUUUUUUACUAAUAUAAAAAAAAUUUCUACACCAAACCCCUUAAAUUUAAUGAUAUUAUAAAAAAAAUUCUUGAUAUUCCUAAUACUUUUCUUAAGUUUAAAAAACAUAAUCCUACGCACGGCAGAAUUUACUAGUACCCAACUAAGACGCGUCCCCUAAUUUAUUGUAUUCUUUCUGUUCACCACUUCGGCAGAACUUUAAUACUGUUGACUGUAACCUUCGAAUCUUGAAAAUUCCAACAAAACAUCCCCUCUAGCUCACCUCACGUUAAAGGGGACUUGGAAAGGACAAACCUACCUACCAGGCCUCGACGUCGUCACUGAGUACCUUGAAAUUCAACUGCCGCAACUGCCAGCAGAGCCAGUUUCUUCGAUGUAAAAGAAAAUGAGAAGGUUUGAUUAUAUUAUAGUAGAAUUGUGAACGUUAAAUAUUAAAAGAUCCUCAUAUGUAUUAAAUAGGUAGGUUAUUAACUUUCUUUUGCCCGAUAUAAUUGAUGUAAUACAAGAUAUUGUUUGUCUGAUAAUAUAAUUGUAAUUGUUUUUUAAAAUGUUUUUUAUUUAGAAAUAUAUUAAAAUAAUAUAUUUUUAUUUUUUAAAAAUUAUUUUUGAUAUCCACGCAUCAAAAUAAUUUAAAAACACAAUAAAAUAUUAAUUUAAAAAAAAAUUUAAAAUGUUUUCAAAAAUAUAUUUAAAACUAAAAAAGAAACAGGACUUAUAAUCCUGACUACAUAAAAGUUGACUAGUUUUCAGCUGUCCAGAAAAAAAGCAACAUGCUUUCGUACUCAAGGCCAAGCAUUCAACUUUCCCAAAAUAAUCUUCCAUGCACGUUUCAGGAAAUUUAAGAGAUCGUGUAGAAGAAACUUCGUUUUUCAAAAAAAAAAAACCGACCACCUCAUUCACUGUUGCUAUAUGUGAAGUCUAUAAAGGUCACCCAUUGCCCCCAUCUAUUUUGAUACAGAACCAUUUCCUCCUUGUUCAUCUCUCCCAACUCCUUUUCUAGCUCAUUUUUGUUUUUGCGACAAAAUUAACCUCUAAACUCAACCAAUCAUGUUCAUCAAAUACUUAAAUCUUAUUAGUGCCCAUCUCAGAUGGGCAUUUAAUUUCUUGUGUUACUAUCCGUUCAGCUUCCAAGAACACGAAUUGUUUGCUGUGACUGCAAUUGGUGAAGAACUAAACACGGUGAUCAAUGAAGCUCCUGCGGAAUGUGCUGUGUGUCUAAGUGACGUUCAAGAAGGCGAAGAAAUCAGAGAGCUGAGAUGUGGGCAUAUCUUUCAUAGAGCAUGCUUAUACAGAUGGCUUGACUUCCGGCAAUCGACUUGCCCACUUUGCCGAGGAAGUCUUGCUCCCCGGAGAACAUUGAUCCUUGAUCAGCACCGAACAGAAGUAUUGACGUUCAAGUUCUGUUCUUUCACAUCCACCGAUGAACGUGAUACAUGGUGGCUACGAUGAAUCAAGUCUUCAAGAUUUUAGUAAGUACCUCGUCAGGAGAAAGCACAACGGAGUACGUAACUACCUUCUCCCCCCUCCUUGAGAAUAUCAUGGCAUGUUCGUUAACGAGUUGCUAUUGAUGCAAACUUCUCAAGCAUGAAGUGAUCGUUAAUUCCUGAGCAUGUGACAGACUAAUUAAGCUGAAGGUUCAUUGUUAGAAUAUAUAUAAGGUUUUUUUUUCCUUCCUAUAUUGCAUCAUCUGCUAAUUUACCUGAAAGGGUGAAGCCAUCUCCCUCUCGGAAUCUCUAAUAACAGUCCUGCAAUGCCAUGCAUGUUGUCUCUUAGCCAUGCUUGUAAUAAACUUGAUGUUUGGUAAGUGUUGUUUUAGUUAAUUUUGGUGAAUCUUUCAAAAUCUCGCUAAGAUCCAAGAAUAAUACAGGAGAGAGUUGAAUGGAAAGACGAUGUUGAGAUUUUUGUUUCAUUACUGGGAUGGAUAAGUUAGUUUGUCCACUACCAUAAACAAAAAAUCAUUAUUUUUC